UUUGAUAUCAGCCGUUGAUCAAAAUGAUCCCACGGCUGAUAUCCAAAACUCCAAUAUUUCCUUUUAUCUCAAUUACCCCCAACCCUAAUCCUUAUUUCUCAAAACAAUAGCAGCUCCUCUCCUGCUCUUUCUCUCUUUAUUCCCCCUUCUCUCUAAAAAACUAACACCGGCAGCCAGCUAACGAUCAACUGCAGCCACCACCGGCAACCCUACACCAGAGAACACCAUCCAAUGAGCCAGCCCCUGCCGGAGAUCCCUCUCUGCUACCCUUCUUCCGACGAAUAACCACCGUUCAGCCACUGCCGCCUCUUCAUCUCAACCAUCUCCCGCCGCUGCUCAACUGCCACUGGCAAAACAGAUAAGCCGCUGGUCUCUCAUCUCUCUACAAUCCCUCCGUCAUCCCUCCAACUGUGGCAAGCCACCAGUGGCCGACGAAAUGCCUCCAACCAACGUCAACUCCACUACUCCCUCUGUCAGCUUCCAUAAUUUUUUAGCCAUGCAGCCGGCGCCACCACCACAACAACAAUAAUACAUCGCCGACGCUGCUCCAGUCAAAUCCACAAAAUUUUCAUAACGGAUUCUUAAGAAUCUGUCUUAAGAUUUGAGUUUCUCGGGCUAAUUUAAUCAGCUACCCUCUUCUUUUUAUUUUAUUCAAGGUAUAUCUUGUGAUUUAAAAUUAACAAAAACUUGUUUGAGGUUUUUGGCCUAAUUUCUUACGAUUUGGGUUUGCUAACUUCCUUAGAUUAUCAUCUAUCAGAAUCCCUGAUUUUUACGAACCGUGGUUAGAAUUAAUUUUGCAUGAAAAAAAUUUGAAGUUGCUAAUGUUCCCAUGGUCUAUCGAACAUAUUCAUCGCUAUCAUUUUGUCAUAAUUUUGGGUAUGUUGGUGUUGAUCGUUGUUGUUGUUGUUUACAUAAAAACUCAUUACGUGUGAUUAUAUGCGGCUAAUUAUUUGCUCCGCUUUAAUUACUGUGUGAAUGUGAAUUAGAAUUAACUUAGUAGUAUAAUUUUUCCUACUUCUCUACUGCUAAUUUGAAUUUUUCUACUGUUGUCUGUCUUAAUUUGUGGAAAGGAGAUUUCACUAAUUGAAUAUUCUUUUUAUUUUGUUAGAUGUUAAUUGACGCAGUUUCCUAGUUGAAAUUGAGACGACUUUUUUAAUUGAGUCAUUUCUAAAUAAGUAUUACUUGAAUAUUUAUGACGUGCGUGUGAUUGAGGAUCUAUGCAUUGGUUAAUUUGCUCUAGUUAUUGUAAAAAUUGCAGAGAAAUUGCGUGGGUUUUUAUUUAUUUUUACAUAUUGUGAAUAUUUGUGGCAAGUAGCAUAAUUUUCCCUCUUCAGUGAUUUGAUUUACUGAUUUAAAGUGAUUGAUUUGAGAAAAUAUUUAUUCCUUUUCUUCCUUUUUAUUACCCUGAUUGAUUAUCACAUAUUUUUACCUUCUAACUCUUUCUGUUGUCCACUAUAUAAGGGUCCCUCCUUAUUUAUAUUCAAACACCUCUUAUCACACACUCCUACUCUGACUUCUACACUAUUCUACACUACACUUAAGUGCUAAAUUUUGCCUGCUGCUUCUACUUUGGGAUUUCUAAUUAUUGUUUACUUAUACGGCUGCUUAUCCACUCUUGAAAGUUCAAUCUUCUUUUGUUAUUGUGCUGUGGACCGGUUUUUUUAAUUAGACGAUCCAUUUAAUUACUACACGAUAAUUUUAAAUGCUUUAAUGCUUAUCUUGAUUGUUUUCUAAAUGCUAUUAAGUUGUUUGCUGUGACAUAUUUGUAAAUUCAUCAUUUCUUCGUAUGCUCUCUCGAUUGAAAUGCUAUAUAUCUGUUGUUUGUUGUGCAUUUGGGAUAUGUGGCUUUGUUUUAUAGAUAUUAUCGAGCCUCCGACAUUAUAUGAAGGGCUGCCGAAAAUUGGAAUAUUGUUAGUUGUAGUUCCUUAUGUUUUAUCUCUUUUUCACUUUCUAUGUAAUUAAUUGUACAAACUUUAGUGAUGUAAUAAUGUAGUAAUCAAUUAUAGGGGACUGCUUGGGGACGGGGUGUUAUGUGAAUCUCUUAGGGAAACGAAAUUUAGGAUUCAUCAAUUGACUUGGUUUGUCACUUAUAAAACAUGCCUAUGGGAUCAUUAAUCAACAUGUGGCUCA
rnacentral:lncRNA from 1 species